rnacentral:rRNA from 1 species
UACGUAGGGCGCAAGCGUUGUCCGGGAUUAUUGGGCGUAAAGAGCUCGUAGGCGGCUUGUCACGUCGGAUGUGAAAGCCCGAGGCUUAACCUCGGGUCUGCAUUCGAUACGGGCUAGCUAGAGUGUGGUAGGGGAGAUCGGAAUUCCUGGUGUAGCGGUGAAAUGCGCAGAUAUCAGGAGGAACACCGGUGGCGAAGGCGGAUCUCUGGGCCAUUACUGACGCUGAGGAGCGAAAGCGUGGGGAGCGAACAGG